rnacentral:lncRNA from 10 species
CCAGGCCUAAGCAGGGCAGGGUCAAUCAAGUCAGGGCGACUAGUAGCAGCCAAUACAUAAACACCUAGAGGAAAAAAGAACAUUUUUUUACCAAAAUCUGAUGACAUGAUGACAUUUUGUUAUAACAUUCUAUUUCUGUAUUUAUAAUUAUUACCCUGUAAGCCUUCUACUCCAUCCAACUGAGUCAGCAACUGGUUAACUACUCGGUCUGUAACUCCUGUAUUAUCAUGACCCCGCCGAGGAGCAAUGGAUUCAAAUUCAUCAAAGAAAAGAAUGCAGGGCUUUGCAGCCUGUGCUCUGGGAAAAACAAACAACAUUUCAUAUUUGAAUCAGGCUUCAUAGUUGGCAAAGUGAUUUCAUAUACAUAUAUGAAUGUAUUUAUUUUAUGUAUUUAUAUAUAUUUAUAUACUUCUUUUAAUUUUUACAACAAACCCUUAAAGAAGGCAAGUUGUAUGUAAUUACAUAUAAAUACAUAUAAAUGUAUUUAUAUAUAUUUAUGUAUUUAUUUUAAUCUUUACAACAAACCCUUAAAGAAGGCAAGGCAUAUGAAAUUACCCUUGUAUUCAGUAAACUGUUGAGGUCAAGGUGUUUAUUAAGACCCAUGCCUUCUGGAUAGACUAACAGGGAUCAAAACAAAAACUGACUCUUAGUCAAUAAGUCAAACACUUUUGAUUCCUAUUACAAGUAACCAUUUUUAUAUUAAUAUAUACUUAUUGGCCACCCUUCCUUCUUUUGUGAAAUGCCUAUUCAUUUAUUUUGCCCAUUCAAAAUUUGGAAAGCUCAUUAUGUUGGUACUGUUUUGUAAGGGCUCUCUAUAAAAUAUAUUUUAUUUCUUUUACUUUUUUAAUAAUUUGAACUUUGACUUUGUUUUAUUAAUUUAUUAACAAAUUUUAAUUCAAAAUAAGUGAAUAUUAAUUCCAUAUCUGGCAACAGGUGGACUAGAUGUCUGGCGAAUAACACCUAAUAUAAAACACCUGUCACGGUGAUUGAAAAAAAUCAACAGCUAUCUCAUUAAAUGCAUGGCAAGUAAAAUAUAUCUUCUGGGGCCAAAAAUAGACCAGAAUUAUCUGCUACUUGAAUGUUUGGCAAAACUCUCCUAGAAAACUGAGUCUGAUGUUUGAUUUGUGUAAAGACUUCUUUAACUUUUCUAACUCAAUUUUUACUAAGUUACAGGACUACUCAGAUUUUGUUUCUUUUUUGCUCAAUUUUGGUCAAUUUUGUUUUUGUCUAUGUCACCUAAGUUUUCAAAUGUAUUGGCAUGAAUAUUUUCAUAAUAUUCCCUUAUUAUCUUUUACAUUUCUGGGAUAUCUUUAGCGAUGUUUCCCUUUUUAUCCCUAAAAUUGUUUAUUCAUGCUUUCUUUUUUCUUAAUCAAACUUGUUAGAGAUUUGUCAAUUGUACUCGGUGUUCAAAAAAUAAAUCUUGGCUUUGUGAGCUUCUCUGUUUUGUGUUUCAUUAAACUUCAUUCUUAUCUUUAUUAUUUCCCUUUUAACAUAUUUUUUAGUUUAUAUCUAUAAUUUUCCUAAUUUCAUGAGAUAGAUACAUAAGUGGUUAACUUCUAACCUUUUUUCUUUUCUAAACAUUUAACACUAUAAAUUUUCCUUGAAAUCAGUUUUGCAACAUCUAACAAUUUUAAUGGAUAGUAUUUUCAUUAUCGUUUGCUCCCAAAUAUUUUCCACUAUAACUUCUCUUUAACCCAGGAAUUACGUGGAAGAGGUUUAUUUUGUUUAUGCUUUUUCCUGGUAAACUCGGUGGUGAAUACAUGAAGUAUUCAUUUUAUUAUUCUUCCUUAAGCUGCAUAUGUAUUUUAUGUA